ACAUGCCUACAGCAUAGAGUUAAUGCACUGGAUCCCAUUAGAACUUCGCAGUUAAGCGUGCUUAGGAUAGAGUAGUACUGGGAUGGGUGAUCGAGCGGGAAGUCCUAGUGUUUUACAUGCC
rfam:Picea glauca, whole genome shotgun sequence.